rnacentral:rRNA from 1 species
UACAGAGGUCUCAAGCGUUGUUCGGAUUCAUUGGGCGUAAAGGGUGCGUAGGCGGCGCGGUAAGUCGGAUGUGAAAUCUCGGAGCUUAACUCCGAACUGCAUUCGAUACUGCCGUGCUUGAGGACUGGAGAGGAGACUGGAAUUUACGGUGUAGCGGUGAAAUGCGUAGAUAUCGUAAGGAAGACCAGUGGCGAAGGCGGGUCUCUGGACAGUUCCUGACGCUGAGGCACGAAGGUCGGGGAGCAAACGGG